ACCGCUGAGCAUGGCAUGAUACGUCAUUUGCUGUGUGUGGGCGGCCGGUUGGAGAGGUGUCUGCUUUAUACAGCCCUUUUUAUUCUGGUCUCAAAUCAGGUAGGAUCACCCGCUGAACUUAAGCAUAUCAAUAAGCGGAGGAAAAGAAACUAACAAGGAUUCCCCUAGUAACGGCGAGCGAAGCGGGAAGAGCUCAAAUUUGAAAGCUGGCACCUCCGGUGUCCGCGUUGUAAUCUCGAGACGUGUUUUCCGUGCGGCUCUAUGGACAAGUCCCUUGGAACAGGGCAUCGUAGAGGGUGAAAAUCCCGUACUUGCCAUGGAUGUACCGUGCUUUGUGAUACACGCUCUAAGAGUCGAGUUGUUUGGGAUUGCAGCUCAAAAUGGGUGGUAGACUCCAUCUAAAGCUAAAUAUCGGGGAGAGACCGAUAGCGAACAAGUACCGUGAGGGAAAGAUGAAAAGCACUUUGGAAAGAGAGUUAAAAGUACGUGAAAUUGUCGAAAGGGAAGCGCUUGAAGUCAGCCAUGCUGCGCGGACUCAGCCCGGCUGGAUGCCUGGUGUAUUUCUCAGUAGCAAGUCAGCAUGGAUUUGAGUCGCCGGAGAAGGGUGGGAGGAAUGUAGCACCCACGGGUGUGUUAAGCCUCCUACUGGAUACGGCGAUUUGGAUCCAGGAACGCAGUGUGCCUCUGGCGGGUCUUCGGACACCUUCACACUUAGGAUGCUGGCGUAAUGGCUUUAAGCGGCCCGUCUUGAAACACGGACCAAGGAGUCUAACAUAUGUGCGAGUUUUUGGGUGGCAAACCCAUGAGCGUAAUGAAAGUG
rnacentral:rRNA from 1 species